rnacentral:lncRNA from 1 species
GUCGCCCAAGAAAAGAGUUAGUUCCAAUUUAUGCGAGUGAUUUAGUCUUCCAAAAAACAGUUAACACUGUUCCAUCGGUUGGCAUCACUGUUCCAUUGAUUUCAUCUGUGAAUACUGUUCCAUUGGCUCAACCAGUCUCAGAUUCACAAGGCACAAUGGUACAAGCAACUACUGUUCCAUUGGCUCAACCAGUCUCAGAUUCACAAGGCACAAUGUUACAAGCAACUACUGUUCCAUUGGCUCAACCAACUCCAGAUCCACAACCAUCUAAUGUCUCUAUGUUACAAACAGCUCCUGUCAGAAGUAUUGUACAUCCAGUCAUACCUAUGGAAGGCUCAAAGGAGAAGGAAAAUGGGGAAAAG